rnacentral:rRNA from 1 species
UGGUGGAGUGAUUUGUCUGGUUAAUUCCGUUAACGAACGAGACCUCGACCUGCUAAAUAGUUGGCCGAAUCCUCUGGAUUGGGUCAUACUUCUUAGAGGGACUAUCGGUUCGCAGCCGGUGGAAGUUCGAGGCAAUAACA